GUCCCUGUAGCGUAAUGGAUAGCGCGUUGGAAUACUAAUCCAAAGAUCGUGGAUUCGAAUCCCUCCUGGGAUA
rnacentral:tRNA from 1 species